CAGUAGCCGCGGGAACACCGAGGAUGCAAGCGUUAUCCGGAAUGAUUGGGCGUAAAGCGAGCGCAGGCGGUUAGAUAAGUCUGAAGUUAAAGGCUGUGGCUUAACCAUAGUACGCUUUGGAAACUGUUUAACUUGAGUGCAAGAGGGGAGAGUGGAAUUCCAUGUGUAGCGGUGAGGUGCGUAGAUAUAUGGAGGAACACCGGUGGCGAAAGCGGCUCUCUGGCUUGUAACUGACGCUGAGGCUCGAAAGCGUGGGGAGCAAACAGGAUUAGAUACCCCAGUAGUCCCUGUCUUAUACACA
rnacentral:rRNA from 1 species